rnacentral:lncRNA from 1 species
CUGUUAUUGAGGGGCCCCAGCGCCAUCUCAAACCCAACGUGACCGAACACACACACCAACCUUCUUUUUCUUUUACGCCGCUGAGCAACAAUGUCUCUGCAGGCCACCAUGAACGCGCCUUGUGAGUGUUUAUCUUUAACUUACUGUAGCUGCAAGUAGAAAGGCGGUGAUCGAUGCUUAGCACUGAUGUCUGUGUUUUCUUCUGUGCAGGCGCGACGGGCCGUGUUGCCCGCCGCUCCGUCAAGGUUUCGGCCAUCUCUGCUCCCCCGACGCCCGCGCGUGCCCCCUCGUCGACCGGCUCGGUGGGUGCGGCGGCCGGGGACUUCGUGGGCAUGCCCCCAGGCCACGUUGUGCAGCUUCCUGGCCUCCGUGGACGCGGGAAUUCAUCUGAAACUUCAUUGUUUCAGGAUGGACUCGCGCAGCUGAGCGACGCAUAGGACCCUUUGUGUCGCGACGUGUGUGCGUGCAGCAAGUCGCGGUCGGUUCUUGUCGCGGGCUAGCGCCCUAAAAUCCCAUCGCCCGCCCCAUCCUCCCGCAGGUUAAGCGUGCGAUGACCAUGACCGAGAAGAUCCUGGCGAACCACUCGGACAACUCCGCUGUGAAGCCGGGUGACAACAUCUGGACGAAGGUCGAUAAGCUGAUGACCCACGACGUGUGCGGCCCGGGCACCUUCGGCAUCUUCCAGAAGGAGUUCGGCCCGAACGCCAAGGUCUGGGACAACGAGCGUGUGGUCAUCAUCCCCGACCACUACAUCUUCACCUCGGACGCCCGCGCCAACCGCAACGUGGACAUCCUGCGGUGAGCGCAGCAAACCGGGCGGCAUCUGGGACAAGGGAGUGGACGGGAGGGGCGCUGGAUGGGGGGAGGCAAGAACUGCUGGGAAAAUCCAGGGCUGGGGGGCCUGGAAGCCGCGGCCUGGGGCAUUGCAGGCAACCAGCCUAGGCACCUCUUCCGCGGUGCAGCCCGCGUUCCCCUACCGCUCACCCACACGCCCCAUGAGCAAUUCCGCGACCGCCCCUGCCCACUGAAACACGCGCGCGCAGUGAGGUGGCCGGCAAGUACAACAUCAAGUACUUUUACGACAUCACUGACCGCUCCAACUUCAAGGCCAACCCGGACUACAAGGGCGUGUGCCACGUGGCGCUGGCGCAGGUGCAGGCCGAGGCAGGGAUAAGGGGAACGAGGGGAUGUACUGGCCUCCAAACACCAGGGGCUUAGUUGACCUUUCUGGCUGUCUAGUGGACAAUGGAGGGGCAAGGGAAGGGAAGGACGGGACCGCUGCAGCGGUAUUCAUGGGAGCGCCGGGCUGCUGUCAUAAGGAGAGCUGCAUGGACGCCGUGCCAGUCACUGGGAGGAGCGGAGGGGACAGCAUCUGCCAAGCCACCAGAGGCUUCGGCGGAGGCGACGACCGCUGCGGUGAGAGCUCUGACGCUAGCAAGCUCUGGCGGCGACACAGCUGUGCAGCGGCGCCUGGGUGUGGCAGUCAACAGCAGAGCAGCAGCCAUGGCGGCGUGACGGGUGGGCGCUGGCAGCGCAGUUGUGGACAGCGGCAUGGGGGCACCGGCUUUUGGCGGGGUCUCAAGCGGCUAAUCCCAGCAGCGGUGCAGGCUCCGGAACCUACGUGGCGCGAGGACGGAGCGGCAGGCAUCCGUGGGCGGCCGUGGCCGUGGCCGUGGCCGUGGCCGUAGGCGGAGCCGUGGUCGUGGCACGAGGCAGGGGCAGCAAGCGCCAAGGGUCGGCGGCACGGGCGAUGGGGCGGCACCAAUGCCGCGGCGCUGGCGGCGGGGUCCCUACAGCCGUGGAGUCGUGCCCUGUGCCGGGAGUCCGCUGCUCUGUCACCGGCCGCUGUGGUGCUGAGCAGGCCUGACAGCGGUAACAGCGGCAGCGGCAGCGGCAGGCGCAGGCGCAGCAUUGGCGUCUCAAGGCGCCGUCACAGCGCUGGUGGCCAUGCGGCGCGGAUGGCCCCAGGUGUCUGCAUGACGUCCCAGCUCUGCGCCUGGGCGCUGCGGCGGGCGGGCCCUGGCAGGGCUGGGGCUGGCGCCAGGGAGGUGUCGUGUUGCAGGCAGAAGCAGCCGCGGCCCGCCAAGGCACAGGGGCGGCCAAUGGGGGUGCUCUGGACUCGGGCCGGGCGGAGCGGCUGUGGCCGGCUAGCGGCUUGACACGCGGCAUCUUGUUCACGGGUACAGCAGCGGACGCACGCGUGUGCAUGAUCCCCCGGAGUCUUGAGAUGCAGGCUUGGCGGAGGCAGGGCCAUGAGGCGUGCUCAGCCUCGUGAUGGCGGAAGUGCAGGAGGGAGGGAGGGAGGGAAGGAAGGGCGGCAGGCUGCAGGCGGCCGCUGGCACCUGCACAGCGGCCGCCGCUGCCAGAGCGGCAGGGAUUCAGGCAGGAGCCAGCAGGCGCGCGCGGUGUCGCGGGGAGCUGCCGGGUGUUUCGAGUGCUGCCGGGACGGCCGCGGGCUCCCCGCCGCAAGGGAGGCGCAAACGCAGGCGCUGGUGCAGGCGCUGGCCCUGCCAGGGGGCGGGCUGCGGCGGGCUGCGGUUGGCGGCUGCAGCUGGGCUGCUGCCAGCGGCGGAUGGGCGGGGCCGGGGAGGCGGAGGACGGGGGGAGGGAGACACAGCUGCAGCGGAGGACACAGCGGCAGGGAGCCAGCAGCGCGGACAGCCCGGGCUGAGCCGAGGGUCUCCUCCCCCACAUCUCAGCUCCAGCCGCUCCACAUCAUGCCAGGCGCCGCCACAGCACCCCCAUCCACCCCGCAGCACUCCAUACAAUGGCUGUCGCACGGGAUGGUGGAAACAACCCCAACCCCCACGCCAUCUCACCUGCCGUGCGGCCACUAACCCUUGCACCGCUCCCGCGCCCACACCCGGACCCUCAAUCGCACCCGCACCCUCAACCGCACCCUCACCCUCAUCCGCACCCGCGCAGGAGGGCCACUGCAAGCCCGGCGAGGUGCUGUUCGGCACUGACAGCCACACCUGCAACGCCGGCGCGUUCGGCCAGUUCGCCACGGGUGUGGGCAACACCGACGCCGGCUUCAUCCUGGGCACCGGCAAGCUGCUGAUCAAGGUGAGGGUGUGUGUGUGGGGGGGGGGCGGGGGUGGAGGGAAGGGGGGGGUGGAGGGAAGGAGGGUGGAGGGGUGUGUUGCUUAAAAGCCAGGGGGGAAGCCAGGGCGUGGGGACAGAGGUUGAAAGGGAAGGGGGAAUGCCUGGAUUGCAGAGGGGUUUAGGCGUUCAUUAGGGGGGGUGUUAGUUGACUCCAAUCCCAGCUAAGUACGACCCCGAACAAGCGCGGGGGGGGGGGCGGGGCAGGUGGGGGCACGAGGUCGGAAGGGUGCUGGCGGCUUCAGGGUAGGAGCGUUUGGGAGGGCGACUGGAGUCACCGGAUGAAGUAGAAGGAGGAACGGGGCGGGGGCUUGGGCACGGGGCGGGGGCUGGGACGGCUGCAUACGUGGUCGCCGGAGGGGGUUGGUGGCGGCUCUCGACAGCCUGUUGGCGGCAAAGCUUGCAGGGCUGAACAACGCGUGUUUCGAUGCCUCACGGGACGCACCCGUUCUCCUCUCCUCACAGCCGCCUCUCCCCCACCCACGCGCAGGUUCCCCCGACCAUGCGCUUCAUCAUGGACGGCGAGAUGCCCGAGUACCUGCUGGCCAAGGACCUCAUCCUGCAGGUUCGUGGUGUUGUGUGGGGUGCUGUGUGUGUGUGUGGGUGGGGGGGGGGGGUAAACGAGGUUAAGGCAGUGCAAACAGGGUAAGAGCAACGGGAACAGCACCGGGGGCGGUUCUAUGUCUUUUGGGGGCAACCUGGGGGGGACUGUGGAUGCGUGCGCCAACGAAGGAACCAGCAAAGCAACCAACUAAGCAACACUCUCACGCUCCCUCUCACCUCCUCCUCCCCACCCCAGAUCAUUGGCGAGAUCUCGGUGGCGGGCGCCACCUACAAGGCCAUGGAGUUCGCCGGCAGCGCCAUUGAGGGCAUGAACAUGGACGAGCGCAUGACCAUCUGCAACAUGGUGGUGGAGGCGGGAGGUGAGAGGCGGGUGGGGAGGGUGGGGUGGGGUGGGGUGGGAGGGGGUCGGCGGCGCAAGGUGGAAGGGCAGGGGAGGCCCGGGGUAGGCCCGGCGGGGGGGGGGGUUGCAAGUAAGGCAUUGGUGGCGGGGGUAGAGGGGCGGGGGGGGGGGGGCGGGGACUGGGCACGGGGGAAGGCGGCAGGGGAGGGCGGCAGCGGAGGCGGUGGGCAGAGGAGGAGGGGGGCAGACUCACAAUGAAGACACUCAAACCGGGCGGGUGGGGGGUGGGGAAGGGGCCUGGCAUUACAACACGCGUGGUGCUUGCGACCAGCAGGCUAGGCGCAGGAGCCUUUUGCGGUGCCCCUCCAACGUACCUGGGGUAUACUUUGCUUCCCUCACUGACGCAAACCCCUCUCCCCUACUGUUUGUGUCUGCUCCCCCCCAGGCAAGAACGGCGUGAUCGCGCCUGACCAGACCACCUUCGACUACGUCAAGGCGCGCACGCAGGAGGCUUUCGAGCCCGUGUACAGCGACGGCGCCGCCAGCGUGAGUGCGGGAGGGCGUGAGUGCGUGGGCCCAGAAGGCCUCCAUCGGGGGCAUCCGUGGGGGCAUCCGUGGGCAUGGUGGGCGUUGGGCGUUGGCAGAGCGGAGUGCGGAGAGGACGGGCAAGACAAACGUACUUGUGCAAGCGUUGCUGGAAAGUGGGAGGCGAGGCGAGUCGUCCUGCCAACAUCUCACACGCGCCCCCGCCCCGUGUGCCGUGCAGUACAUUGCUGACUACAAGUGGGACGUGUCCAAGCUGGAGCCGCUGGUGGCCGCGCCCCACUCGCCCGACAACCGCAAGACCGCGCGCGAGUGCUCCGACGUCAAGAUCGACCGCGUGUACAUCGGCAGCUGCACGGGUGAGCCCCGUUUGCGCAUAUCUUUGUUUUUCAGGGGGUGGGCCGGCAGAUGGAUGGGGAGGAGUGCGCGGCGGUGCCACGGAGCAGGCUCAUUGGCCACAGACAGUCAUUAACACGACCGGGCGGUCAGGCAAAGGGCUGUAAGCCUGUGACCAGUGUCCCCUUCCGCCCUUUCCUCCCCGCCAACCGCCAACCGCUCACCCUGCAACCCCUGCAACCCCCUCUUCCGCGUGUGCUCCCCCUCUCCUCCUCAACACACACAGGCGGCAAGACCGAGGACUUCAUCUCGGCCGCCAAGCUGUUUUACCGCGCCAAGCGCCAGGUCAAGGUGCCCACCUACCUGGUGCCAGCCACCCAGAAGGUGAGGCGCAGGCCUUUUUUUGGGGGGGGGGGCUGUAGACACCAGCCCAAAGUAAACCAAACCAAGCUAAACUAGCGGAGCACAGGCAGAGGCGACAGGUCUCAGGGCAGAGGAGGGAGGGGCACAAAGCCGCAGGCGGAGGAAGCAGGCACGCAGGGGCAGGGACAGGGCAGGGGCAGGCACGCCAGGGCAGACAGGCAAGUGCGGGGCUACCGUACCAGGACCGCACUGAAUUGGAGGCGCAGGAUGCAGGGCCAUACGUUCAAGCAAGCAGGCGGCGUUGCCGUCGAUGCCGUGCGCCACAACGAUACGUACAGGGCAGGACAGGCGAUGCCUGGCACGCCGCCAGCACCAACCCACACCCACCAUGAUUGAACGACCUAACGGCGGCGCUCCCUGUGCUCACGCAUGGCGGUGGCCGCACACAGGUGUGGGCGGACGUGUACACCAUGCCCGUGCCCGGCUGCGACGGCAAGACCGCCGCCGAGAUCUUCGAGGAGAGCGGCUGCAUCACCCCCGCCGCGCCCUCCUGCGCCGCCUGCCUGGGCGGGCCGCGCGACACCUUCGCGCGCAUGAACGAGCCCGAGGUGAGCACCCCCAGUGUGCAGGCAGGGGCGGAGUGGGCUGUGGGAUUUCCAUCGUCCUGUUGUUUUCCGGGUGUCAGCCUGCCUCAGGCUGGGGCGCGUCUGUGGCCCCAAGUGGCAGCCAGCCAGCGUGCCAAGCCUUGUGACCUCAACCGGCUCCCGGCGUCCUUAGUCCAUGCAACCAAUCUCUUCUCACUCACCAUACCCCCCUGCCGCCGCUGCCGCUGGCCCUCCGCCGCAUGUGGCCGCCAGGUGUGCGUGUCCACCACCAACCGCAACUUCCCCGGCCGCAUGGGCCACAAGGAGGGCCAGAUCUACCUGGCCUCGCCCUACACCGCCGCCGCCUCCGCCCUCAAGGGCUUCGUGUGCGACCCCCGCGAGUACAUGUAAGCGCACGCCGCUUCAAUGCGUGGCGUGCUAGCAGUGCGGUGCGCUGGCAACGGCAGCACACACUGCAUAUGUGUGGGAGGGAGCAGAGGGUUGGGAGCUGCCGGUGCGGAACAUGGGCCACGUGUCGCGUUGGUCGUGGUCG